rnacentral:rRNA from 1 species
ACUGCUAUCGGAUUGAUACUAAGCCAUGCGAGUCAUUGUAGUAAUACAAGGCAGACGGCUCAGUAACGCGUAGUCAACCUAACCUAUGGACGGGAAUAACCUCGGGAAACUGAGAAUAAUGCCCGAUAGAACAUUAUGCCUGGAAUGGUUUAUGUUCCAAAUGAUUUAUCGCCGUAGGAUGGGACUGCGGCCUAUCAGUUUGUUGGUGAGGUAAUGGCCCACCAAGACUAUUACAGGUACGGGCUCUGAGAGGAGUAGCCCGGAGAUGGGUACUGAGACACGGACCCAGGCCCUAUGGGGCGCAGCAGGCGAGAAAACUUUGCAAUGUGCGAAAGCACGACAAGGUUAAUCCGAGUGGUUUCUGCUAAAGGAACCUUUUGUCGGUCCUAGAAACACCGAUGAAUAAGGGGUGGGCAAGUUCUGGUGUCAGCCGCCGCGGUAAAACCAGCACCUCAAGUGGUCAGGAUGAUUAUUGGGCCUAAAGCAUCCGUAGCCUGCUUUGUUAGUUUUCGGUUAAAUCUGUGCGCUCAACGUACAGGCUGCCGGGAAUACUGCAAAGCUAGGGAGUGGGAGAGGUAGACGGUACUCGGUAGGAAGGGGUAAAAUCCCUUGAUCUAUUGAUGACCACCUGUGGCGAAGGCGGUCUACCAGAACAUGUCCGACGGUGAGGGAUGAAAGCUGGGGGAGCAAACCGGAUUAGAUACCCGGGUAGUCCCAGCCGUAAACCAUGCAAACUCAGUGAUGCAUUGGCUUGUGGCCAAUGCAGUGCUGCAGGGAAGCCGUUAAGUUUGCCGCCUGGGAAGUACGUACGCAAGUAUGAAACUUAAAGGAAUUGGCGGGGGAGCACCACAAGGGGUGAAG